GUGUUCGGGCUGUCAUGCCAAUGGCACUGCCCGGUAGCUAAAUGCGGAAGAGAUAAGUGCUGAAAGCAUCUAAGCACGAAACUUGCCCCGAGAUGAGUUCUCCCUGACUCCUUGAGAGUCCUGAAGGAACGUUGAAGACGACGACGUUGAUAGGCCGGGUGUGUAAGCGCAGCGAUGCGUUGAGCUAACCGGUACUAAUGAACCGUGAGGCUUAACCUUACAACGCCGAAGCUGUU
rnacentral:rRNA from 1 species